rnacentral:misc_RNA from 1 species
AAAGUCGUAACAAGGUUUCCGUAGGUGAACCUGCGGAAGGAUCAUUAAAAAUGAACAACUUCAACACAUGGUGCACUUACUUUGGGGGCCCUUGGUUUAAUAACCUGGGUCCCCAUUGAUCUUGACUACAUUUAUAUCAGUGUCAAUUAGGAAACUAAUAUAGACAACUUUUAGCAACGGAUCUCUAGGUUCUC